CAGAGAACUUGCCCUUCGGGGUAGAUCUCCCACCCUGUGUUUAUGUUACCUUUGUUGCUUUGACGGGCCCGUCCCUCGGGACCGCCGGCUCCGGCUGGCCCGUGCCCGUCAGAGGACCCCAAAACUCUUGUUUAAACGUCGUCUGAGUACUAUAUAAUAGUUA
rnacentral:misc_RNA from 1 species